rnacentral:rRNA from 1 species
GAUGAACGCUGGCGGCGUGCCUAAUACAUGCAAGUCGAGCGAACAGAUGAGGAGCUUGCUCCUCUGACGUUAGCGGCGGACGGGUGAGUAACACGUGGAUAACCUACCUAUAAGACUGGGAUAACUUCGGGAAACCGGAGCUAAUACCGGAUAAUAUAUUGAACCGCAUGGUUCAAUAGUGAAAGACGGUUUUGCUGUCACUUAUAGAUGGAUCCGCGCCGCAUUAGCUAGUUGGUAAGGUAACGGCUUACCAAGGCAACGAUGCGUAGCCGACCUGAGAGGGUGAUCGGCCACACUGGAACUGAGACACGGCCCAGACUCCUACGGGAGGCAGCAGUAGGGAAUCUUCCGCAAUGGGCGAAAGCUUGACGGAGCAACGCCGCGUGAGUGAUGAAGGUCUUCGGAUCGUAAAACUCUGUUAUUAGGGAAGAACAAAUGUGUAAGUAACUAUGCACGUCUUGACGGUACCUAAUCAGAAAGCCACGGCUAACUACGUG